UAAGUGCCCUGGAACGGGCCGUCAUAGAGGGUGAGAAUCCCGUCUGGGAUGGGGUGCCCACGCCCGUGUGAAGCUCCUUCGACGAGUCGAGUUGUUUGGGAAUGCAGCUCUNAAUGGGUGGUAAAUUUCAUCUAAAGCUAAAUACUGGCCGGAGACCGAUAGCGCACAAGUAGAGUGAUCGAAAGAUGAAAAGCACUUUGAAAAGAGAGUUAAACAGCACGUGAAAUUGUUGAAAGGGAAGCGCUUGCGACCAGACUCGCCCACGGGGUUCAGCCGGCAUUCGUGCCGGUGUACUUCCCCGCGGGCGGGCCAGCGUCGGUUUGGGCGGNCGGUCAAAGGCCCUUGGAAUGUACCGCCCCCCGGGGCGGCUUAUAGCCNAGGGUGCCAUGCGGCCAGCCCGGACCGAGGAACGCGCUUCGGCUCGGACGCUGGCAUAAUGGUCGUAAGCGACCCGUCUNGAAACACGGACCAAGGAGUCUAACAUCUAC
rnacentral:rRNA from 1 species